rnacentral:misc_RNA from 1 species
GAAAUGCGAUAAUUAAUGUGAAUUGCAGAAUUCAGUGAAUCAUCGAGUCUUUGAACGCACAUUGCGCCCCCUGGUAUUCCGGGGGGCAUGCCUGUCCGAGCGUCAUUGCUGCCCUCAAGCACGGCUUGUGUGUUGGGCUUCCGUCCCUGGCAACGGGGACGGGCCCAAAAGGCAGUGGCGGCACCAUGUCUGGUCCUCGAGCGUAUGGGGCUUUGUCACCCGCUCCCGUAGGUCCAGCUGGCAGCUAGCCUCGCAACCAAUCUUUUUAACCAGGUUGACCUCGGAUCAGGUAGGGAUACCCGCAGAACUUAAGC